rnacentral:rRNA from 1 species
CCUACGGGAGGCAGCAGUGGGGAAUAUUGCACAAUGGGGGGAACCCUGAUGCAGCGACGCCGCGUGAGUGAAGAAGGUUUUCGGGAUGUAAAGCUCUAUUAACAGGGAAGAAAAAGAAGGUACGUGACUAAGAAGUCCUGGCUAACUACGUGUCAGCAGCCGCGGAAAUACGUAGGGGGCACGCGUUAUACGGAUUUACUGGGUGUAAAGGGAGCGUAGACGGGUAUGCAAGUCUGCUGUGAAAGCCUAAGGCUCAACCGUGGGAAUGCAUUGGAAAAUGGAUAACUUGAGUGCAGAAGAGGUUGGCGGAAUUCCAGGUGUAGCGGUGAAAUGCGUAGAUAUUAGGAGGAACACCAGUGGCGAAGGCGGCUGACUGGGCUGUAACUGACGUUGAGGCUCGAAAGCGUGGGGAGCAAACAGGAUUAGAUACCCUGGUAGUC